GAAGUGCGGGUGCCUAUAAUGCAAGUCGAGCGAGCGGAACCAGCAGAAUCACUUCGGUGAGGACGCUGGGAAAGUGAGCGGCGGAUGGGUGAGUAACACGUGGGGAACCUGCCCUUAAGUCUGGGAUACCACUUGGAAACAGGUGCUAAUACCGGAUAAGAAAGCAGUUCGCAUGAACAGCUUUUAAAAGGCGGCGCAAGCUGUCGCUAAAGGAUGGACCCGCGGUGCAUUAGCUAGUUGGUAAGGUAACGGCCUACCAAGGCAGUGAUGCAUAGCCGAGUUGAGAGACUGAUCGGCCACAUUGGGACUGAGACACGGCCCAAACUCCUACGGGAGGCAGCAGUAGGGAAUCUUCCACAAUGGACGCAAGUCUGAUGGAGCAACGCCGCGUGAGUGAAGAAGGUUUUCGGACCGUAAAGCUCUGUUGUUGGUGAAGAAGGAUAGAGGUAGUAACUGGCCUUUAUUUGACGGUAAUCAACCAGAAAGUCACGGCUAACUACGUGCCAGCAGCCGCGGUAAUACGUAGGUGGCAAGCGUUGUCCGGAUUUAUUGGGCGUAAAGCGAGCGCAGGCGGAAGAAUAAGUCUGAUGUGAAAGCCCUCGGCUUAACCGAGGAAUUGCAUCGGAAACUGUUUUUCUUGAGUGCAGAAGAGGAGAGUAGAACUCCAUGUGUAGCGGUGGAAUGCGUAGAUAUAUGGAAGAAUACCAGUGGCGAAGGCGGCUCUCUGGUCUGCAACUGACGCUGAGGCUCGAAAGCAUGGGUAGCGAACAGGAUUAGAUACCCUGGUAGUCCAUGCCGUAAACGAUGAGUGCUAAGUGUUGGGAGGCUUCCGCCUCUCAGUGCUGCAGCUAACGCAUUAAGCACUCCGCCUGGGGAGUACGACCGCAAGGUUGAAACUCAAAGGAAUUGACGGGGGCCCGCACAAGCGGUGGAGCAUGUGGUUUAAUUCGAAGCAACGCGAAGAACCUUACCAGGUCUUGACAUCUAGUGCCAUUUGUAGAGAUACAAAGUUCCCUUUCGGGGACGCUAAGACAGGUGGUGCAUGGGCUGUCGUCAGCUCGUGUCGUGAGAUGUUGGGAUAAGUCCCGCAACGAGCGCACCCNUUGUUAUUAGUUGCCAGCAUUAGUUGG
rnacentral:rRNA from 1 species